rnacentral:lncRNA from 1 species
CCAGCGGAGAGCCGCUGGCUGGGUGGGUGUCGGCCUCCCCGCCUCCUUCUUCUCCCCGCCGGCUUGCCGGGGAUGCUUGCGCGAGGCGCCCCCUCGCCUUUAAGCUCCCGGCCCCGGGGGGCGGUGUGUGUGAGUAGCUGGGAGGGGGCCGCGAGGCGCUCCGCCGAGGGCUCGUCCGGGUUUGUCCGCCGCCGUCACCUGACUCGUCGGAGGAGCCACAGCUGAGAAGAGGAGGCGGUAGACGCGACCACAGAAGAUGUCGGGCCAAACGCUCACGGAUCGGAUCGCCGCCGCUCAGUACAGCGUUACAGGCUCUGCUGUAGCAAGAGCGGUCUGCAAAGCCACUACUCAUGAAGUAAUGGGCCCCAAGAAAAAGCACCUGGACUACCUACAAACCUUCUUUCAACAAGUGCUUCCUAAUUUUGAGAUCUGAAAGUAUGUUCCAGCAUCUUUUGAGUCAUACAACCAAAGUAUGAGGAGAUCACAAGUCUUUUAAAAAGUUGUGCUAAAGGAGAAAUACUUCAGAAAUAUGUUACAUUUGUUUUGGAUCACAGUAUUAUUUAUUUCUCAAGAAGAGAUUUGUUCAUCAUAGUAGUAUUAG